UGGAACCUGCUUCAGAUUCUGUCUCCUCCUCUCUCUGCCCCUCCCCUGCUUAUGCUCUGUCUUUCUGUGUCUCAAAAGUAAAUGAAUAAAAAUUGAAGGAAAAAAAAGAAUGUAGAUGUUUCAACAAGCCAACACACACACGCAACUAAAGAAGGAGGGCAUAGAGGUGGGAAAAUGUAUGAAGGAGAAGGAAAAGAAAGAGAAAAAGGUUGAGAAGGAGGGAAUUAGAUCCCAAGAAGAGAGGAGGGGGAGGUGGAACCAGUAGCUAUACAUCAAAGAAUUAGUUAUCUGUGUCCCGAGGACUUGAGAGUUGACCUGCUAUCAGUUAUCAAGCAGUGAGGAUCUGAAAAUGAAGAGGAAGAUGAGCAUCGGCUAUAUCAAAAAUCAAAAUGGAGACCGCCUGAAGGGAGUAAAACCACAGACACACGUAUUCCCCGCAAAGAGUUCUUGGGCCGAAUCACUCAAAGAGCUGGGAAAUGAAUAAGAAAAUGUUCUUGCCUAUGGAAGUCAUGGGACAUGCCCAGUAUCUACCCCAUUAUUGUCCGGCUGCACAGGAGACCUCUAUAAUGAGCCCACUCACAGUAUCCGCGACGUCUCGUGAAUGUGCAGAGUAUUAUAAAAAGUUUGUUUUCCUGGCUAACAGCAGCAAAUGUACAAAGCUUUCUUCGUUAGGGUUUGCUAUUUAAACCAUCAGCUCAUUCUGCAAGAACAUCAAACAUGUGUCUACCAGAUGCUGGGGAACAGUGCAGUCCUAAGGAUCUGACUCAAGUGAACAAUAAUCUGUGGACAGCGGGUGUGAACCUGAGCUGGGCCAACACCUCAUCAGACCGAAUGGCUAAUUGAUUUCAAAAUUAGACUUGGUAUUUCUGAACAAUAAUCUUAAAAGGCAGCAAUAAAAUACAUCAGGAUCCUUUGAGCUAGCCA
rnacentral:lncRNA from 1 species